rnacentral:misc_RNA from 2 species
UUUCGGUAUCCUGUGUUGCUUACCUGCGGAAAGGAAAUCGUUUGUUUCGCCGUCCCUUUCCGCCCGACGCCCUCGGUGGGUGUGGGGUGGACAUCAGGCAUGAUCCGUGGUCCUGGCACGUCCCGCUCGGGACUGCCUUGGCCCACGGCGUCGUUGCCCGUUCUCUCGGAUACGGAACGCCGUGCGUGGGUGCGGGGUCUCGGCCUUCGCUGGCCCAAGCUACGCAUCUGUCCCUUGACACGAACGACCGCCGCGCCCGUCUCGACCUCGCGUGCGUGCCUUCUUCGGCUCGGCGUGGGUCAUGCGGGCGUCGGCGUCGCCGAGGAAUGCUACCUGGUUGAUCCUGCCAGUAGUCAUAUGCUUGUCUCA